rnacentral:rRNA from 1 species
CAACCUUCAAUUGACCACGUGGCUGCAGGAGCAGCAGGGCAUGCACGUGAAGCAUCUCCAACGUUUUUGGCUGGUUCAACUUGUGAACGUGCAGCUAAUUUGGAACGGACCAAAUUGCUAGAAAAUGGAACUUUGGCAAGUUCAGAAGCAAGUGUGUCUUCUCCGACAGCACGAGAGCGGCGCUUGUUAGGUCUCUCUCCAACGGAAGCGUUUCAAAUAAAUUCGGUGACGAUGAAGAGUAAAGGGCAACGACGUUUGCACAUCAAGGAACCGAAUUUUUUUGAAGACGCAAAUAUGGAGGAGUGUUGGUGUCGUGCUAUGGAUGAAGAGUUGGGGUCGAUCCGAGACAACGAUACAUGGGAGCUCAUGGAUCUUCCCAACGGACAUAAUGCCAUAGAGUUCAAGUGGGUGUACAAAGUCAAGAAAGAUGUCGAAGGGAACUUGGUCAAGCAUAAAGCAAUGCUCGUAGCUAAAGCAUGCGUGCAAGAGCAAGAUGUGGACUUCGAAGAAGUGUUCGCUCCAGUUGCA